GACGAACGCUGGCGGCGUGCCUAAUACAUGCAAGUUGAGCGCUGAAGGUUGGUACUUGUACCAACUGGAUGAGCAGCGAACGGGUGAGUAACGCGUGGGGAAUCUGCCUUUGAGCGGGGGACAACAUUUGGAAACGAAUGCUAAUACCGCAUAAAAACUUUAAACACAAGUUUUAAGUUUGAAAGAUGCAAUUGCCUCACUCAAAGAUGAUCCCGCGUUGUAUUAGCUAGUUGGUGAGGUAAAGGCUCACCAAGGCGAUGAUACAUAGCCGACCUGAGAGGGUGAUCGGCCACAUUGGGACUGAGACACGGCCCAAACGCCUACGGGAGGCAGCAGUAGGGAAUCUUCGGCAAUGGACGAAAGUCUGACCGAGCAACGCCGCGUGAGUGAAGAAGGGUUUCGGAUCGUAAAACUCUGUUGGUAGAGAAGAACGUUGGUGAGAGUGGAAAGCUCAUCAAGUGACGGUAACUACCCAGAAAGGGACGGCUAACUACGUG
rnacentral:rRNA from 1 species